UACGUAGGGGGCUAGCGUUGUCCGGAAUCAUUGGGCGUAAAGCGCGUGUAGGCGGUCCGGUAAGUCCGCUGUGAAAGUCGGGGGCUCAACCCUCGGAUGCCGGUGGAUACUGUCGGGCUUGAGUACGGAAGAGGCGAGUGGAAUUCCUGGUGUAGCGGUGAAAUGCGCAGAUAUCAGGAGGAACACCAAUUGCGAAGGCAGCUCGCUGGACCAUUACUGACGCUGAUGCACGAAAGCUAGGGGAGCAAACAGG
rnacentral:rRNA from 1 species